rnacentral:rRNA from 1 species
GAUGAACGCUGGCGGCGUGCCUAAUACAUGCAAGUCGAGCGAACAGAUAAGGAGCUUGCUCCUUUGACGUUAGCGGCGGACGGGUGAGUAACACGUGGGCAACCUACCUAUAAGACUGGGAUAACUUCGGGAAACCGGAGCUAAUACCGGAUAACAUUUGGAACCGCAUGGUUCUAAAGUGAAAGAUGGUUUUGCUAUCACUUAUAGAUGGACCCGCGCCGUAUUAGCUAGUUGGUAAGGUAACGGCUUACCAAGGCGACGAUACGUAGCCGACCUGAGAGGGUGAUCGGCCACACUGGAACUGAGACACGGUCCAGACUCCUACGGGAGGCAGCAGUAGGGAAUCUUCCGCAAUGGGCGAAAGCCUGACGGAGCAACGCCGCGUGAGUGAUGAAGGGUUUCGGCUCGUAAAACUCUGUUAUUAGGGAAGAACAAAUGUGUAAGUAACUGUGCACGUCUUGACGGUACCUAAUCAGAAAGCCACGGCUAACUACGUG